rnacentral:rRNA from 1 species
GUUAAAACUCAAAUGAAUUGACGGGGGCCCGCACAAGCGGUGGAGCAUGUGGUUUAAUUCGAUGCAACGCGAAGAACCUUACCUGGUCUUGACAUCCACAGAACUUUCCAGAGAUGGACUGGUGCCUUCGGGAACCGUGAGACAGGUGCUGCAUGGCUGUCGUCAGCUCGUGUUGUGAAAUGUUGGGUUAAGUCCCGCAACGAGCGCAACCCUUAUCCUUUGUUGCCAGCGGUCCGGCCGGGAACUCAAAGGAGACUGCCAGUGAUAAACUGGAGGAAGGUGGGGAUGACGUCAAGUCAUCAUGGCCCUUACGACCAGGGCUACACACGUGCUACAAUGGCGCAUACAAAGAGAAGCGACCUCGCGAGAGCAAGCGGACCUCAUAAAGUGCGUCGUAGUCCGGAUUGGAGUCUGCAACUCGACUCCAUGAAGUCGGAAUCGCUAGUAAUCGUGGAUCAGAAUGCCACGGUGAAUACGUUCCCGGGCCUUGUACACACCGCCCGUCACACCAUGGGAGUGGGUUGCAAAAGAAGUAGGUAGCUUAACCUUCGGGAGGGCGCUUACCACUUUGUGAUUCAUGACUGGGGUGAAGUCGUAACAAGGUAACCGUAGGGGAACCUGCGGUUGGAUCACCUCCUUA